GACGAACGCUGGCGGCGUGCUUAACACAUGCAAGUCGAACGGAAAGGCCCUGCUUUUGUGGGGUGCACGAGUGGCGAACGGGUGAGUAACACGUGAGUAACCUGCCCUUGACUUUGGGAUAACUUCAGGAAACUGGGGCUAAUACCGGAUAGGAGCUCCUGCUGCAUGGUGGGGGUUGGAAAGUUUCGGCGGUUGGGGAUGGACUCGCGGCUUAUCAGCUUGUUGGGGGGGUAGUGGCUUACCAAGGCUUUGACGGGUAGCCGGCCUGAGAGGGUGACCGGCAACAGUGGGACAAGGAAACGGCGAGAAGGCCUCGGGGGGGAGCAGGGGGGGAUAAUUGGCAAAGGGGCGAGAGCCGAUGGCGGAAACACCGGGGGGGGAGGUAGGGCUUGCGGGGUUAGAAAAGGUUUUGCCUGGGAGAAGCGGGAAGGAAGGGAAAGGGGGAAAAAGAAACGGCUAACUCUGGG
rnacentral:rRNA from 1 species